UGAGUAACCUGCCCUUAACUCUGGGAUAAGCCUGGGAAACUGGGUCUAAUACCGGAUAUGACUCCUCAUCGCAUGGGUGGGGGGUGGAAAGCUUUAUUGUGGUUUUGGAUGGACUCGCGGCCUAUCAGCUUGUUGGUGAGGUAAUGGCUCACCAAGGCGACGACGGGUAGCCGGCCUGAGAGGGUGACCGGCUACACUGGGACUGAGACACGGCCCAGACUCCGUACGGGAGCAG
rnacentral:rRNA from 1 species